UAUAUUUCUUUAUUAUUUGACACGUGUAUUUGUUUAAUGGCCCUCUGCUCCACCAGUAUGGAAGCUCCAAAAGGAAAGAUACCAGAUUGAUCUUGAUCACCUUUGCCUCCCCAGCACCUAGUCUUCCUUGGCACAUCGUGAGUGCUCGGGUCAGGCUGUGCCACAUCCACCCGGCCUUGCCUGGGGUCAUUCAUCUACAUGUACUCAGAUCACGUGAACUGGUGAUGGGCCACCCAUGUGCCUGCCUGGAGACUCCUAUUCACCCUUCAGAUCAAUAUCCCCCGAAUAAACUCCCAGUCACUCUGGCAUCCCA
rnacentral:sRNA from 1 species